rnacentral:rRNA from 1 species
UACGUAGGGGGCAAGCGUUGUCCGGAUUUAUUGGGCGUAAAGAGCGUGUAGGCGGCCUGAAAGGUCAGCUGUGAAAACUCGAGGCUCAACCUCGAGACGUCGGUUGAAACCAUCUGGCUAGAGUCCGGAAGAGGAGUGUGGAAUUCCCGGUGUAGCGGUGAAAUGCGCAGAUAUCGGGAAGAACACCCGUGGCGAAGGCGGCUCUCUGGGACGGUACUGACGCAUGAGACGGCGAAAAGCGUGGGGAGACGAACGAGG